UACGAAGGGUGCAAGCGUUACUCGGAAUUACUGGGCGUAAAGCGUGCGUAGGUGGUUUGUUAAGUCUGUUGUGAAAGCCCCGGGCUCAACCUGGGAAUGGCAAUGGAUACUGGCAGGCUAGAGUGCGGUAGAGGGUAGUGGAAUUCCCGGUGUAGCGGUGAAAUCGUAGAGAUCGGGGAGGAACACCAGUGGCGAAGGCGGCUACCUGGACCAGCACUGACACUGAGGCACGAAAGC
rnacentral:rRNA from 1 species